rnacentral:lncRNA from 1 species
UUAAAUACUUCUCUCCUCCUCUCCCCCUUCACCAACUCUCAGACCCGCCGCCGCCGCCGCCGCCGCCGCCAACCCCCGGCAGGCGCUAGAGACAGGCGACUGUAAUUGGAAGAGGGAGGAGUUUAAUCUGGUGGGUAGAGCGAGAGAGAGAGAGAAAAAUGCAGACGGCGACAGCUGCACCUACGGCGGUGGGUUCCUCCCUCCUCGUGCAGCGCCGCCAUGGCGCGCCGCCGCCGUUGGCUCCGGCAAGGGCGCUCUGCAGGGGGGCGACGUGGACGAGGAGGCCCGCCACGGGGAGGGUCUUCUGCGAGGCGGCGGUGUCCACCGCCGACGUCUCCUCCUCCGGCGCCACAGCGGCGGCGCCGGAGGGUCUCGACGGCGACGCGCUGGCGGCGUCCAAGGUCGGUUCCAGGGUCCGUGUGAAGGCGCCCUUGAAGGUGUACCACAUCCCGAAGGUCCCCGAGCUCGAGCUCGAAGGUAUGGAAGGGGUGAUCAAGCAG